rnacentral:rRNA from 1 species
AUUGAACGCUGGCGGCAGGCCUAACACAUGCAAGUCGAGCGGAGGAAGGGAGCUUGCUCCUGGAUUCAGCGGCGGACGGGUGAGUAAUGCCUAGGAAUCUGCCUGGUAGUGGGGGAUAACGUCCGGAAACGGGCGCUAAUACCGCAUACGUCCUGAGGGAGAAAGUGGGGGAUCUUCGGACCUCACGCUAUCAGAUGAGCCUAGGUCGGAUUAGCUAGUUGGUGGGGUAAAGGCCUACCAAGGCGACGAUCCGUAACUGGUCUGAGAGGAUGAUCAGUCACACUGGAACUGAGACACGGUCCAGACUCCUACGGGAGGCAGCAGUGGGGAAUAUUGGACAAUGGGCGAAAGCCUGAUCCAGCCAUGCCGCGUGUGUGAAGAAGGUCUUCGGAUUGUAAAGCACUUUAAGUUGGGAGGAAGGGCAGUAAGUUAACACCUUGCUGUUUUGACGUUACCAACAGAAUAAGCACCGGCUAACUUCGUG